rnacentral:pre_miRNA from 1 species
UCUAGAACUCGAGAUAUGAGCUGAACACUGAACAGUAUUUGAGCUGCAGGACAGAUUCUGACUUCUCUUUUGUUGCUAUAAUUUGAACUUGAAAAUGGUCCUUUUGAAUCUUGGACUCAUCAUAAAAGUUUUAGACUUAUGUCUUAGCUUUCCAUC